ACAGAAAAGUCCUGUGCCCUGGUAGCAAGAUAUACUCUGUACACACCACACAUCGCAUCUCAAUUUCAUCUGCACAUAGGACCACAUAUUAACUGAGGAAGGAGUCAGGGACAAGCAAAAAAAAAGCAUAAUUACAAAUAUCCAAUUCGUUUUUAAAUGACCUAUUCAGAAUGCAUUAUUUUAAUUAUGUUGUGCCGUGUUUUGUUUUGGUAAUGUUGUUUUGAAUCAGUCCCUAACAUGGAUGACUGGAGAGCAGUGAAUGAGGAUUUCAACCCCAAGGAUUAUAGCCUUCUUCAAGCCUGCACCAUUUGAAUUCUAAAAGCCAAGAAAAAGUCCAAGAAGGGGAAAAUAGGAAAACAAAAAGAAAAUAAAAGGGAAUGGAAGAGGGUUCCAGGAUUCUAGAGACCUAAAGGUCAUUAUCUAAUAUAAGGUGACAGGAAGUCAUGGAAGGUCUACAAACAGAAGAAUACAGCAACUUUGAGCAAAUGGACCAACAGAAAAUAUUCCAAAUCAUUUUCCGAUUUAGUUGUAGGAUUGCAUUGUAGAGCUUAAUUAAUUGGCAAUUACCAGACUUGUGAAUAUUUUCAGUUUGUGCUUAAGUUUACUGGUCCCUUCCACUUUCUCAUUGAAAUGCCAGCUUCAUCCAUGUCUUUUUAUUUUCCCACCCAUGACUUAUUCUAGUCAAUAAAAGAAUGCUGGUGGCUUUA